rnacentral:tRNA from 1 species
GGGAAUGUGGCUUAGUGGUAGAGUGCUUGUCUGGCAUGCAUGAAGCCCUGGGUUCAAUUCCUCAGUACCA